rnacentral:rRNA from 1 species
CAGUCGCCGCGGUAAUACGAAGGGGGCUAGCGUUGUUCGGAUUUACUGGGCGUAAAGGGCGCGUAGGCGGACUGAUAAGUCAGGGGUGAAAUCCCAAGGCUCAACCUUGGAACUGCCUUUGAUACUGUUUGUCUUGAGUUCGAGAGAGGUAAGUGGAACUGCGAGUGUAGAGGUGAAAUUCGUAGAUAUUCGCAAGAACACCAGUGGCGAAGGCGGCUUACUGGCUCGAUACUGACGCUGAGGCGCGAAAGCGUGGGGAGCAAACAGGAUUAGAUACCCCAGUAGUCCCUGUCUCUUAUAC